rnacentral:ncRNA from 1 species
GGUAAAGGGCAAACCGGCAGUGAUGUCGGGACGCAAUGCUUCCGGUCUGGAGCAUGGUUCCAGAUAGCGGGGUUUC